rnacentral:lncRNA from 10 species
CUAGGAAGUCCCCAAGAGCACAGGAGCCCAGAGACCUCGCAGGAGGAAGCAGCAGUAUCUGUGUUCCAAAUCCUGCCCAGCCCCCAGGCAGCCAUGCCUCCUGCCCCCAACAGGAUUCCUCACAUCCCAGGACCAGCUGGAAAAGGUGGUGAGAGUUGGAAAGAGACUGCUCAGUGAGGACUGCCCUGCGAACCAGCUUGGAUUCAUCCCGUUCACCUCCACGUUCUGCACUCGGGGCCGAGGGAAGGGAGGCAGCCCAGGCAGCUAGAGAACUUGAUGAAACACACUCAAUCUGAAUCUCGCUUGAUCGUCAUGCUGACCCAGUGAGUCUACUCAGGGUCAGGCAUCCUUUCCGACUACUCACUCAGCAGCGGAUCCCCACCCGCCUCUGACUCCCAGUGUCUUUCGGCUCCAACGUAAGUUCACCGAACGUCUAAGAGCUGAGGAUUCAAAGGCAUGUAAGACCGCCCCUGCCCUCAGCUGCAAGACCUGUCCGCGAUCCUACGAGCCCCAUUCCGCCCUCUUUCCCCGACCUUGGUCCCCCAUGGGCCCUACAACCAGGUCCCCGACUGACACCUUGACCAGCGAACACAGCAAACAGGCCCGCAGAUGCCGCAGGUCCUUCGGCACCGUCUCCAGGGCCAUCUUCGCCGAUGGGAAGAACAACAGGGAGAUAGACGACCACAGCCUGUGCACCCGCAGGAAGUAAAUAGCUCGUUACCCAGAAUGCCCACCACUUCCGGCGCUUAGACUUCCUCUUCCGGUGUGGGCGGACGCCAGCUCCGCCCCUACCCCCGCCAGAGGAGAUGGUUUCUCCCGCCAGCAGGCGGGGAGGCUGGGCGGCCGGCCGCCACCUGGGCCGGAGCGCGUCGCAGCCACCUGAGCCCGCCGAGGGCGCGGCGGAGGCUGUGUGGGGUAGUCAGCGGGCCCCCGGGGCGGGGGGGCGGCUGCGCUUGCGCGGGAGUGUGUCGGGCUGAGCCGCAGCGCCGAGACGCGGGCUGUUUGAUCUGGGCUGGUGGCCCUGGGCGUCGGUCCUGUUCCCCGAUGGUAACCCGAAGUUUGUUUUUUUUUGUUUUGUCUCCCCGUUUUAGAAGCAUUGGGGGCAGUGAAUCCACUGUCUCCCUCUGGAUUGUCUCUGCAGAGACCGAGAAGAAAUCCAGGGACAGCCCCACCCCUCCUUCCUAACUGCGAGAGCGCUAUAGGGUUUCCACUUGCUUCCCACAGGAAUGCUGGCCUGGGAGCUACGGCGGAAAAAAAUGCGUAUUUAUCUUUUAAAACUCCGUCUGUUUGCUCGUUCCGGCUGAUAAUUUAUACUUUGCGCAGUUCUUAGCGCUUAGACACGGUUCCUUUACUAAAGACCAUUUGUAGGAGAUUAGGUGUCCUUUUUUUCCCUUUCAUUUCACCGUCUAGGAAGCGAAAUGCCUUGUUCUAUAGGCACUAAACCACCACCCCUACCAAACCUUUCUCGGGGAAGCAGAAGGGGAACUUGUGCCUUGUGAGGAAGCGACAAAGGCCCCUUCUGGCCCUGGAGACUUCACGCCAAUGGAGCACCAGCUCUCUGUCCUCGCAAUAGCCCGAGUGCAGGCAGAACGCAGUCAUUUGUGUUUAUCUGAGAGGAGCUUUGGGAUAUAAAUAGUUUCAGGCCCCGCUGCGCUGUCAUUCCAGCCCAGCCUCCUGAUUGAGCUGCUUCCGGGCGGGCUUUCUUCUUGUUGGCGGUCCCAUGCUGUGUUCAGAUGGGCUCUGUGACAGGUUUGGAUGUUUUCUAUCACUGAAUAAAACUUUCCACUUUGGAACAUAUUUUCUACACUCUAUUAUCUCAUGUAAGUCCUGCAACAACUAUUAAGUAGGCCCAUUUUAUGGACUGAAAAAGCGAGGCACAGAGUAUUUGCCCAAGGUCUGAGUCACUGAAGUAUGAUAAUGUGUGAAGUGAACAGUAUAAUAAUAAUGACUGAAGCACAGUAAGAAUCCAGUCAUGCUUUCUCCUUCCCUGAUCUCACUAAGCCACACUUUUAGGGGCUUACAAACCAGUUCUUAUUGCCAAGCCCUCUACUCUACCCUAUCCUUUCAUGAAUCGGAGCCUAGCCUCUGAUAACAUAAAUAAUUUACUUCUCUUGAUGUAGAAAGAGAUGACGUUGUUACCCUGAGUGACAGUCACGACAGAACAAAACCACAAGACCAGACCACAUUUGUGGAUAAAUAUAUUAGCAAAUAAAUAUAUUUCUUAAC